UACGGAGGGUGCAAGCGUUAAUCGGAAUUACUGGGCGUAAAGCGUGCGUAGGCGGUUCGUUAAGUCUGUUGUGAAAGCCCCGGGCUCAACCUGGGAAUGGCAAUGGAUACUGGCGAGCUAGAGUGUGUCAGAGGAUGGUGGAAUUCCCGGUGUAGCGGUGAAAUGCGUAGAGAUCGGGAGGAACAUCAGUGGCGAAGGCGCUCUGCUGGACCAUAACUGACACUCAGGGACGAAAGCUAGGGGAGCGAAUGGG
rnacentral:rRNA from 1 species